CAGCUUAAGAAGCAAAGCACAGAGUCUCCCUUUGCGCACAAGAAGCAGCGCCCCUUUGCCUCUGGUUCUUCCCAUUGCCAGUGGAAAAAACCUCGGCGACAUCUGGUUGCAGAUGUUCAUGAGGAGCGCACAUCUUCUUUUCGCAUCUACGUUGUUGCUUUGAUGUGGCAGCAUAUGGUAGCCAAAGACAAAAAGUUCAUAGAUAGUCUUGAUUAUCUUUUCAAAUGCCUCUGCUUCCCCACAUGGAAAGUGGCCACUAACGGUUAAUCAUGUUUAUACGCAACGGUACAGCAAAGUCGUCCAGUGAAAUAAGCUGGAAUUCCGCGUCAACUAGCUUAGUGAAAAUGUUUAGACCGGCCAUGCCCAUAAAAAGGUCAGGUUGCAGCAUUCACAACUAAAUAUCACCGACAUCCUCUACAUGAACAACCACAGCUUUAAUAUGGUGGCAAUGUUAUUUUGCCUAACACCGAUCUCACAACCUGAUAUGAAUUUCAAUGUAGCAUGGCAGUCUCCACAAGCAUGUAAACUCUUGAAUGUCCAAGUAGGUCUUCCUAGAACUGUGCUUAGGAUACCAAAAGCAACAACUAUCUUCUCAGUGAGUUGAAGUAAGUACUGCUUCUUUGGUUCCUCUUUUCCCAUCAUGAAGAACAAAGUUUGUAUUUGGUAUAUAUAAUACUUAUUUAAAUUUUGAGACUACUUUCUCCAGCUUGGUACUUAACGAUUUUGUUUGUGGACGAGAAGUGCUGCCAACACGGACACUUGCCAAACCAGCUUAAAUGAUUCGUGAAUGCACUUGCAGGCCAAGUUUCAAAUGUUCUGGCUUUGCGCAGGCUGAAACAACACUUGUAAACCGAUUUGAUAUGGUUUAAACCUAUCCAAAGUUCCAUGUCCGAGCACAAGUCAGCUGCCCUCUUUUGAAGACCCAGACUGAACGCAAAGAGUGAUCAUCAAAGUCCAGGCAACCCCAUUUUUUUUCAGGCAUAUCAUCAAACAGUGGGGGCGCAUUGUUCAACGAUUAGGUAGAUGAGCAAACGGAGCAGCGUCCUCGGGCUAUGCACACAGACACACAGCCCCUCUUUGCAUCGGACUAUGGCGCUUGUGAACAUCUCUUCAUGUUCAUUACAAUUGUGUCAUCAUUUUUUUUGCACGCUAUGCUCAUUUGUUAUGUGAUUUUGUUAAUUUCGCAAAGGCCAAGAUAAUUCGUGCGGUAUUUUAUUUC